GAUGAACGCUGGCGGCGUGCCUAAUACAUGCAAGUCGAGCGAACGGACGAGAAGCUUGCUUCUCUGAUGUUAGCGGCGGACGGGUGAGUAACACGUGGAUAACCUAUCUAUAAGACUGGGAUAACUUCGGGAAACCGGAGCUAAUACCGGAUGAUAUUUUGAACCGCAUGGUUCAAAAGUGAAAGACGGUCUUGCUGUCACUUAUAGAUGGAUCCGCGCUGCAUUAGCUAGUUGGUAAGGUAACGGCUUACCAAGGCAACGAUGCAUAGCCGACCUGAGAGGGGGAUCGGCCACACUGGAACUGAGACACGGUCCAGACUCCUACGGGAGGCAGCAGUAGGGAAUCUUCCGCAAUGGGCGAAAGCCUGACGGAGCAACGCCGCGUGAGUGAUGAAGGUCUUCGGAUCGUAAAACUCUGUUAUUAGGGAAGAACAUAUGUGUAAGUAACUGUGCACAUCUUGACGGUACCUAAUCAGAAAGCCACGGCUAACUACGUG
rnacentral:rRNA from 1 species